UAAACGGAGAGUUUGAUCGUGGCUCAGGAUGAACGCUGGCGGCGUGCCUAAUACAUGCAAGUCGAGCGAUAAGGCUCCUUCGGGAGUACAUAAGCGGCGAACGGGUGAGUAACACGUGGGUGACCUGCCCCGAAGACGGGAAUAGCCCUUGUAAUGAGGGGUAAUACCCGAUACACUCGAUAGUUCAUUCUGUCGAGUAAAGCUCCGGCGCUUCGGGAGGGGCCCGCGGCCCAUCAGCUAGUUGGUAGGGUAACGGCCUACCAAGGCAAAGACGGGUAGGGGGCGUGAGAGCGCGACCCCCCACACUGGCACUGAGAUACGGGCCAGACUCCUACGGGAGGCAGCAGUGAGGAAUAUUGCCCAAUGGACGAAAGUCUGAGG
rnacentral:rRNA from 1 species